rnacentral:rRNA from 1 species
GAUGAACGCUAGCUACAGGCUUAACACAUGCAAGUCGAGGGGCAUCAUGGCGGUCGCUUGCGACCGCUGAUGGCGACCGGCGCACGGGUGCGUAACGCGUAUCGAACCUGCCGCAUACCCGGGGAUAGCCUUGCGAAAGCAAGAUUAAUACCCGAUGUUCUCACUGUUCCGCAUGUUACGGUGAGCAAAGAAUUUCGGUAUGCGAUGGCGAUGCGUCCCAUUAGCUAGUUGGCGGGGUAACGGCCCACCAAGGCUCCGAUGGGUAGGGGUUCUGAGAGGAAGGUCCCCCACACUGGGACUGAGACACGGCCCAA